rnacentral:piRNA from 1 species
ACCUCUUAGUUGCUGCUGUGGACU